rnacentral:rRNA from 1 species
UACGUAGGGUGCGAGCGUUAAUCGGAAUUACUGGGCGUAAAGCGUGCGCAGGCGGUUCGUUAUGUCCGAUGUGAAAGCCCCGAGCUCAACUUGGGAAUGGCAUUGGAAACUGGCGGGCUGGAGUGUGGCAGAGGGGGGUGGAAUUCCACGUGUAGCAGUGAAAUGCGUAGAGAUGUGGAGGAACACCAGUGGCGAAGGCGACUCUCCGGACUGUAACUGACGCUGAGGCGCGAAAGCGUGGGGAGCAAACAGG